rnacentral:sRNA from 1 species
UUUCACCAAAGUCAAGUUUUAUAGAGU